GUGUAGUGGAAGACUGUUGGCUGUGAUAUAGGUGUAGUGGAAGACUGUUGGCUGUAAGGCUGUGAUAUAGGUGUAGUGGAAGACUGUUGGCUGUAAGGCUGUGAUAUAGGUGUAGUGGAAGACUGUUGGCUGUAAGGCUGUGAUAUAGGUGUAGUGGAAGACUGUUGGCUGUAAGGCUGUGAUAUAGGUGUAGUGGAAGACUGUUGGCUGUAAGGCUGUGAUAUAGGUGUAGUGGAAGACUGUUGGCUGUAAGGCUGUGAUAUAGGUGUAGUGGAAGACUGUUGGCUGUAAGGCUGUGAUAUAGGUGUAGUGGAAGACUGUUGGUUGUAAGGCUG